rnacentral:rRNA from 1 species
GAAUAUUGGACAAUGGGGGGAACCCUGAUCCAGCCAUGCCGCGUGUGUGAAGAAGGCCUUUUGGUUGUAAAGCACUUUAAGCGAGGAGGAGGCUACUCUAGUUAAUACCUAGAGAUAGUGGACGUUACUCGCAGAAUAAGCACCGGCUAACGCUGUGCCAACAGCAGCGGUAAUAACUAGGGUGACAGCGUUAAUCGGAUUUACUGGGCGUAAAGCGCGCGUAGGUGGCCAAUUAAGUCAAAUGUGAAAUCCCCGAGCUUAACUUGGGAAUUGCAUUCGAUACUGGUUGGCUAGAGUAUGGGAGAGGAUGGUAGAAUUCCAGGUGUAGCGGUGAAAUGCGUAGAGAUCUGGAGGAAUACCGAUGGCGAAGGCAGCCAUCUGGCCUAAUACUGACACUGAGGUGCGAAAGCAUGGGGAGCAAAC